CCUAAGGUAGCGAAAUUCCUUGUCGGGUAAGUUCCGACCUGCACGAAUGGCGUAAUGAUGGCCAGGCUGUCUCCACCCGAGACUCAGUGAAAUUGAACUCGCUGUGAAGAUGCAGUGUACCCGCGGCAAGACGGAAAGACCCCGUGAACCUUUACUAUAGCUUGACACUGAACACUGGUCCUUGAUGUGUAGGAUAGGUGGGAGGCUUUGAGUGUGGACGCCAGUCUGCAUGGAGCCAUCCUUGAAAUACCACCCUUUAAUGGCUGGUGUUCUAACGUGGACCCGUUACCCGGGUUGCGGACAGUGUCUGGUGGGUAGUUUGACUGGGGCGGUCUCCUCCUAAAGAGUAACGGAGGAGCACGAAGGUUAGCUAAUCCUGGUCGGACAUCAGGAGGUUAGUGCAAAGGCAUAAGCUAGCUUGACUGCGAGAGUGACGGCUCGAGCAGGUGCGAAAGCAGGUCUUAGUGAUCCGGUGGUUCUGAAUGGAAGGGCCAUCGCUCAACGGAUAAAAGGUACUCCGGGGAUAACAGGCUGAUACCGCCCAAGAGUUCAUAUCGACGGCGGUGUUUGGCACCUCGAUGUCGGCUCAUCACAUCCUGGGGCUGAAGUAGGUCCCAAGGGUAUGGCUGUUCGCCAUUUAAAGUGGUACGCGAGCUGGGUUUAGAACGUCGUGAGACAGUUCGGUCCCUAUCUGCCGUGGGCGCUGGAGAAUUGAGGGGGGCUGCUCCUAGUACGAGAGGACCGGAGUGGACGCAUCACUGGUGUUCGGGUUGUCAUGCCAAUGGCAUUGCCCGGUAGCUAAAUGCGGAAGAGAUAAGUGCUGAAAGCAUCUAAGCACGAAACUUGCCCCGAGAUGAGUUCUCCCUGAGACUUUA
rnacentral:rRNA from 1 species